rnacentral:rRNA from 1 species
GCUCAGGAUGAACGCUGGCGGCGUGCCUAACACAUGCAAGUCGAACGAAGCAAUUAAAAUGAAGUUUUCGGAUGGAUUUUUGAUUGACUGAGUGGCGGACGGGUGAGUAACGCGUGGAUAACCUGCCUCACACUGGGGGAUAACAGUUAGAAAUGACUGCUAAUACCGCAUAAGCGCACAGUACCGCAUGGUACGGUGUGAAAAACUCCGGUGGUGUGAGAUGGAUCCGCGUCUGAUUAGCCAGUUGGCGGGGUAACGGCCCACCAAAGCGACGAUCAGUAGCCGACCUGAGAGGGUGACCGGCCACAUUGGGACUGAGACACGGCCCAAACUCCUACGGGAGGCAGCAGUA